rnacentral:rRNA from 4 species
AAACGACUCUCGGCAACGGAUAUCCCGGCUCUCGCAUCGAUGAAGAACGUAGCGAAAUGCGAUACUUGGUGUGAAUUGCAGAAUCCCGUGAACCAUCGAGUCUUUGAACGCAAGUUGCGCCCGAGGCCACUAGGCUAAGGGCACGUCUGCCUGGGUGUCACGC